GAGUUUGAUCCUGGCUCAGAUUGAACGCUGGCGGCAGGCCUAACACAUGCAAGUCGAGCGGAAACGAUGGAAGCUUGCUUCCAGGCGUCGAGCGGCGGACGGGUGAGUAAUGCAUAGGAAUCUGCCCGGUAGUGGGGGAUAACCUGGGGAAACUCAGGCUAAUACCGCAUACGUCCUACGGGAGAAAGCAGGGGCUCUUCGGACCUUGCGCUAUCGGAUGAGCCUAUGCCGGAUUAGCUAGUUGGUGAGGUAAUGGCUCACCAAGGCCGCGAUCCGUAGCUGGUCUGAGAGGAUGAUCAGCCACAUCGGGACUGAGACACGGCCCGAACUCCUACGGGAGGCAGCAGUGGGGAAUAUUGGACAAUGGGCGCAAGCCUGAUCCAGCCAUGCCGCGUGUGUGAAGAAGGCCCUCGGGUUGUAAAGCACUUUCAGUGAGGAAGAACGCCUGGCGGUUAAUACCCGCCAGGGAAGACAUCACUCACAGAAGAAGCACCGGCUAACUCCGUGCCAGCAGCCGCGGUAAUACGGAGGGUGCGAGCGUUAAUCUGGAAUUACUGGGCGUAAAGCGCGCGUAGGUGGCUUGAUCAGCCGGUUGUGAAAGCCCCGGGCUCAAUCCUGGGAACGGCAUCCGGAACUGUCAGGCUAGAGUGCAGGAGAGGAAGGUAGAAUUCCCGGUGUAGCGGUGAAAUGCGUAGAGAUCGGGAGGAAUACCAGUGGCGAAGGCGGCCUUCUGGACUGACACUGACACUGAGGUGCGAAAGCGUGGGUAGCCAAACAGGAUUAGAUACCCUGGUAGUCCACGCCGUAAACGAUGUCGACUAGCCGUUGGGUCCCUCGCGGACUUUGU
rnacentral:rRNA from 1 species